UACGUAGGGGGCUAGCGUUGUCCGGAAUCAUUGGGCGUAAAGAGCGUGUAGGCGGCCAGAUAAGUCCGCUGUGAAAUCUCGAGGCUCAACUUCGAGCUGUCGGUGGAAACUGUCUGGCUAGAGUCCGGAAGAGGAGAAUGGAAUUCCUGGUGUAGCGGUGAAAUGCGCAGAUAUCAGGAAGAACACCCGUGGCGACGGCGGUUCUCUGGGACGGUACUGACGCUGAGACGCGAAAGCGUGGGGAGCGAACAGG
rnacentral:rRNA from 1 species